CCCUUAGAUGUUCUGGGCCGCACGCGUGCUACACUGAGUGGAUCAGCGGGUCAGGUUGCGCGAAAGUGUUUCCUAAUCUUUAAAUCCGCUCGUGAUGGGGAUUGACGGUUGCAAUUUUCCGUCAUGAACGAGGAAUACCUUGUAAGCGCGGGUCAUCAUCCCGCGCUGAAUACGUCCCUGCCCUUUGUACACACCGCCCGUCGCUCCUACCGAUUGGAUGGCCCGGCGAAGUGGUCGGACCGGCGGCCCAGGCACGGUCGUGCCACGGGCCCCGGGAAGUCCACUGAGCCUUGCCAUCUAGAGGAAGGAGAAGUCGUAACA
rnacentral:rRNA from 1 species